rnacentral:rRNA from 1 species
AAGACUAACUACUGCGAAAGCAUUUGCCAAGGAUGUUUUCAUUAAUCAGUGAACGAAAGUUAGGGGAUCGAAGACGAUCAGAUACCGUCGUAGUCUUAACCAUAAACUAUGCCGACUAGGGAUCGGGCGAUGUUAUCUUUUUGACUCGCUCGGCACCUUACGAGAAAUCAAAGUUUUUGGGUUCUGGGGGGAGUAUGGUCGCAAGGCUGAAACUUAAAGAAAUUGACGGAAGGGCACCACCAGGAGUGGAGCCUGCGGCUUAAUUUGACUCAACACGGGGAAAC